rnacentral:rRNA from 1 species
UACGUAGGGGGCAAGCGUUGUCCGGAUUUAUUGGGCGUAAAGGGCGUGUAGGCGGCCAAGCAGGUCAGCUGUGAAAACUCGAGGCUCAACCUCGAGACGUCGGUUGAAACCGCUUGGCUAGAGUCCGGAAGAGGAGAGUGGAAUUCCCGGUGUAGCGGUGAAAUGCGCAGAUAUCGGGAAGAACACCCGUGGCGAAGGCGGCUCUCUGGGACGGUACUGACGCUGAGACGCGAAAGCGUGGGGAGCGAACCGG